rnacentral:rRNA from 1 species
AUUGAACGCUGGCGGCAGGCCUAACACAUGCAAGUCGAACGGUAACAGGAAACAGCUUGCUGUUUCGCUGACGAGUGGCGGACGGGUGAGUAAUGUCUGGGAAACUGCCUGAUGGAGGGGGAUAACUACUGGAAACGGUAGCUAAUACCGCAUAACGUCGCAAGACCAAAGAGGGGGACCUUCGGGCCUCUUGCCAUCGGAUGUGCCCAGAUGGGAUUAGCUAGUAGGUGGGGUAACGGCUCACCUAGGCGACGAUCCCUAGCUGGUGUGAGAGGAUGACCAGCCACACUGGAACUGAGACACGGUCCAGACUCCUACGGGAGGCAGCAGUGGGGAAUAUUGGACAAUGGGCGAAAGCCUGAUGCAGCAAUGCCGCGUGUAUGAAGAAGGCCUUCGGGUUGUAAAGUACUUUUAGCGGGGAGGAAGGGAGUAAAGUUAAUACCUUUACUCAUUGACGGUACCCGCAGAAGAAGCACCGGCUAACUCCGUG